UCAGUUCGCAUAAAAAUGUAAUAUCAGCUGCUAUGAGGUCCUUAAUUCUAAUAUUUAAUAUAAUAUAGAAUAAAGAAUAAUAUCUGGUUUUCAAAAUUCAACUUUUUCACAAAAAUGUAUCUGAAAGGCAAGUUAAUGGUGAAAUUUAGACCAUUUGUUUUCUUUUAUUGACGCAAGUGUCUGAUAUGAGAGAAUAUUUGUUUUUUUUUUUUUUGGGAAUACUUUGCAUACAGACCUUUACAGUUAUAGGUAAAAGUUUAAAAUGCGGACACAUUCACUGAGAAAAGCACUAAACAAGUUCGCCAUACUUGUCGUGGGUUUAUUUGUGACCAUUUUCUUGAGGGCAUUUACAAGCUACCGACAAGGAUGUUCAAAAGGAACUAGUUCUCCAACAAAAUGAAACUCAUGCGAACUACCAAGAGAAGCGCAUAAAACUCAAGCCAAAACAACAACAAAGCAUCUGAAAAUCAUGUUAUAUGUUAGAAAGCUUAAUAGAUUUUUUGUGAAAAUAUGUUUAAAGUUAAUCGAAUAAAAAAAAUCUUAGUCUUGUGGCGAACAUCUUGAUGCCGAAAAUAAACUUUUGUUCAAUAAGCCUUUGACAA